rnacentral:rRNA from 1 species
UGGAGAGUUUGAUCCUGGCUCAGGAUGAACGCUAGCGGCAGGCCUAACACAUGCAAGUCGAGGGGGAAGUUACUUUCGGGUGACUGAGACCGGCGUACGGGUGCGUAACGCGUAUACAAUCUGCCUUUCACUGGGGGAUAGCCCGAAGAAAUUUGGAUUAAUACCCCAUAGUAUAGUAGUGUGGCAUCACACAACUAUUAAAGCCUUGGUGGUGAAAGAUGAGUAUGCGUUCUAUUAGCUAGUUGGAGAGGUAACGGCUCCCCAAGGCGAUGAUAGAUAGGGGUUCUGAGAGGGAUGUCCCCCACACUGGUACUGAGAUACGGACCAGACUCCUACGGGAGGCAGCAGUGAGGAAUAUUGGACAAUGGUCGGAAGACUGAUCCAGCCAUGCCGCGUGCAGGAUGAAGGUCUUAUGGAUUGUAAACUGCUUUUGUAAGGGAAGAAUAAGGACUACGCGUAGUUUGAUGACGGUACCUUACGAAUAAGCAUCGGCUAACUCCGUGCCAGCAGCCGCGGUA